AACGAACGCUGGCGGCAGGCUUAAUACAUGCAAGUCGAACGCAUCCUUCGGGGUGAGUGGCAGACGGGUGAGUAACGCGUGGGAACGUGCCCUUCAGUUCGGGAUAACCCAGGGAAACUUGGGCUAAUACCGGAUACGUGCGAGAGCAGAAAGAUUUAUCGCUGAAGGAUCGGCCCGCGUCUGAUUAGCUAGUUGGUGGGGUAAUGGCCCACCAAGGCGACGAUCAGUAGCUGGUCUGAGAGGAUGAUCAGCCACAUUGGGACUGAGACACGGCCCAAACUCCUACGGGAGGCAGCAGUGGGGAAUAUUGGAGAAUGGGCGCAAGCCUGAUCCAGCCAUGCCGCGUGAGUGAUGAAGGCCUUAGGGUUGUAAAGCUCUUUCGUCCGGGACGAUAAUGACGGUACCGGAAGAAGAAGCCCCGGCUAACUUCGUGCCAGCCGCCGCUGUAA
rnacentral:rRNA from 1 species